rnacentral:rRNA from 1 species
CAAAUUACAAGUUACCCCGGGAGGAAAGUUGAAAAGCACUCUGAAGAGAGAGUUAAAGAGGACGUGAAACCGGUAGGAUGGAAACGGAUAGAGCUAGCGAAGUCGCUCGCAUUCAGCCGAAGGCCCAUAGUUUCCGGUGGUUUGGUUGCCAAUCGUGCCAGGCUGCCGUGCGGCUGUGGGUUGAGGUGCAUUUGCGGGCGUAUGCGCUGAGACUGGUGGGGCCGCUGCUGGACCCGUGUUCUAGAGGCCGUCCUCUGGGCGGAACCUGGUCGCGGUGACGGCUGUUGGUCCUGCUUGUGUGUUUGUGCGGCCUACGGACCUUGCCCGCGCUGCUGUCUUCGGGCGGUGGUAUCGCAUGCGAUGCCUAGCUCGGGGGCUGUGGUUCGGUCCGGUGUUCCCGCGCAGCAUCUCGGUGUAGAAGCUGGUCAUCUCUCCGACCCGUCUUGAAACACGGACCAAGGAGUUUAGCGUAUGCGCGAGUCAUUGGGUGCGAAAACCCAUAGGCGGAAUGAAAGUGAAGGCUCGGUUGCCGGGCUGACAUGCGAGUGCUAGGCUUCGGCCGCGCACGCAGCAUGGUCCCGUUCCGGUCGCUUGCGACGGAGCGGCGAUAGAGCGUAUGCGCUGAGACCCGAAAGAUGGUGAACUAUUCCUGAGCAGGACGAAGCCAGAGGAAACUCUGGUGGAAGUCCGAAGCGAUUCUGACGUGCAAAUCGAUCGUCUGACUUGGGUAUAGGGGCGAAAGACUAAUCGAACCAUC